GUAGUCUUGGCUGAGUGAUUAAGGCAAUGGACUAAAAAUCCAUUGAGCUUUACCCGCGCAGGUUCGAAUCCUGCCGACUACA